GCCUGGGUGGCUCAGUCGGUUGAGCAUCUGACUUCGGCUCGGGUCAUGAUCUCACAGUCCGUGGGUUCCAGCCCCACGUCGGGCU
rnacentral:tRNA from 1 species